GAGAGUUUGAUCAUGGCUCAGAAUGAACGCUGGCGGCAGGCCUAACACAUGCAAGUCGGACGGAGUUAUAUUGUAGCUUGCUAUGGUAUAACUUAGUGGCAGACGGGUGAGUAAUGUAUAGGAAUCUACCUAGUAGUACGGAAUAAUUGUUGGAAACGGCAACUAAUACCGUAUACGCCCUACGGGGGAAAAAUUUAUUGCUAUUAGAUGAGCCUAUAUUAGAUUAGCUAGUUGGUGGAGUAAUAGCCUACCAAGGCAAUGAUCUAUAGCUGAUCUGAGAGGAUGAUCAGCCACACUGGAACUGAGAUACGGUCCAGACUCCUACGGGAGGCAGCAGUGGGGAAUAUUGGACAAUGGGCGAAAGCCUGAUCCAGCCAUGCCGCAUGAGUGAAGAAGGCCUUUGGGUUGUAAAGCUCUUUUAGUGAGGAAGAUAAUGACGGUACUCACAGAAGAAGUCCUGGCUAACUCCGUGCCAGC
rnacentral:rRNA from 1 species